rnacentral:rRNA from 1 species
GAUGAACGCUGGCGGCGUGCUUAACACAUGCAAGUCGAACGGAAAGGCUCCUGCUUGCAGGAGUACUCGAGUGGCGAACGGGUGAGUAACACGUGGGUGAUCUGCCCUGUACUUCGGGAUAAGCUUGGGAAAACUGGGUCUAAUACCGGAUAUGACAAUCUCUUGGAUGGGGUUGUGGAAAGCUUUUGCGGUAUGGGAUGAGCUCGCGGCCUAUCAGCUUGUUGGUGGGGUAAUGGCCUACCAAGGCGUCGACGGGUAGCCGGCCUGAGAGGGUGUACGGCCACAUUGGGACUGAGAUACGGCCCAGACUCCUACGGGAGGCAGCAGUGGGGAAUAUUGCACAAUGGGCGCAAGCCUGAUGCAGCGACGCCGCGUGGGGGAUGACGGCCUUCGGGUUGUAAACUCCUUUCGCAACCGACGAAGCUUUUUGUGACGGUAGGUUGAGAAGAAGCACCGGCUAACUACGUG